CGCGUAGGCGGUGCGGUGCGGUUUCGGUGAAAUCCCUCGGCCCAACCGAGGAACAGCCGGGGCUACGGCCGCGCUAGACGGCAUCAGGGGACAGUGGAACUCCCGGUGGAGCGGUGAAAUGCGUAGAUAUCGGGAGGAACGCCGGUGGCGAAAGCGACUGUCUGGGGUGCCUGUGACGCUGAGGCGCGAAAGCCAGGGGAUCAAAACGG
rnacentral:rRNA from 1 species